rnacentral:rRNA from 1 species
GGGCCCGCACAAGCGGUGGAGUAUGUGGUUUAAUUCGAAGCAACGCGCAGAACCUUACCUGGCCUUGACAUCCCGGGACAACCUCAGAGAUGAGGCGUUCUCUUCGGAGACCCGGUGACAGAUGCUGCAUGGCUGUCGUCAGCUCGUGUUGUGAAAUGUUCGGUUAAGUCCGGCAACGAGCGCAACCCCUAUCCUUAGUUACCAGCAUUAAGUUGGGGACUCUAGGGAGACUGCCGGUGUCAAACCGGAGGAAGGCGGGGAUGACGUCAAGUCCUCAUGGCUCUUACGGCCAGGGCUACACACGUACUACAAUGGCAGAAACAAACAGUUGCGAAACCGCGAGGUCAAGCUAACCUGUAAAACACUGUCUCAGUCCGGAUUGGAGUCUGCAACUCGACUCCAUG